UGCUGGUUUUCUCAUGGCGCAAUUUAUAUUAAUUUUCUGAAAACGAAAUUAGUGAUUUUAAGAAAAUACGUUUACUGUUACGAUAAACUUUCUGUGUUAUAAAGGCCUGUGAAUAAUCGGACAGUAAUCAAGAAAUGUUUUUGCAGCUUGUAGACGGCCACAAAUAAACUUGUAUUUCGUUUGGAAACUGUCGUAUCAAAAUGCUCAGACUACGACCUUUUGUCAUUCAUUUUUCAAAGGAUUCGAUAAACAACACUUUCGACGAGAGUUGUAGUCACAGUGGAGUGUUAAUAGGACAGACAGUGGAUGAUAUUUGCACAGGAAAGACAAACAUAAGCGAUAUUCCAAAAAUCACAGUUGUCAAACUGGAUGGCAAAUGGGUGACUGCCAACAACAGGCUCCUCUGGGUGUUCCUUCAGCUAGAAAAGCUCGGAAAAUGAACUCACAUCGACGUCUAUGAAGGCUUCUCUAUACCUACCGAGAAACUCGCGUCAACAAACGUCGGUGUUACGGCGCACGUGCGCGGUAAUCCGGGUAGCUACUAUCUUAGCCGGUGGAAAUCCAUAUUCAUCGACAAAAACUGGUACCGAAAUGCGUACGGCGGUGCCGCACAGUAGCAAAUCUAGUCGUAUCAAUACCAUCAUCCCUUCGCCUUCCCAGUGAGUACAACCGACAUGUACAUGUCCUAGUAUAAAGAAAGCGAGUAUUCGAAUAACGAUCCUUAAAAGCAUUACUUCAAAUUCGUAUAAAAGAGCGUAUCCGGAACCUCGAGUGAACGACUCGUGGUGUUAAAAAAUAUUUACAAUUCUGUUUAUAAUGUUCAUACUUUUAAUUUUAUGGAAUGUAUUCAUUUAAUUCAAAUGCCGUUUUUCUAUGGUAUUUUAAUGUUCAGCAGUUGCACGUGUACACAAUCCAUUGCUUUCUAUACUCGCUUUAAUGUUACUGAAAUAGUUGUUAGACUAGUAUAAUGACAAUGUUAAAACUUAUUAUGAAUUCUUAUGUACUUGUGCAUGUAAAUAUUCGUUGUAUCGGUACUUGAUGCUAAACUGUAUGUACUUUGUUAAAACAAAUAUCCUGUACGGUAAUAGUAUGUUCUAUUACUAAACCAUGUAACAUUCAUGUAGAUGUUUCAGUGAUGAAAUUGAAUGGAGUAAUUUUCACAUUGCAUAA